UGUGACAUGGUGGAAAUCUGCAUUCCCGGAAGGGCUGGCUUCUGCUCUUCUAGUCCACAGAGCAUGGCCUAGACUUGGACAAAUUCCGAGUUAGGAAGACCAAUGGGCAGCAAGGGCACAAGCAGUGUUAAAGGUGUUCAUGAAAGCUUGCAUUGACACAGCAAGGGUGGAGAAGAGAGGACAGGGGAUUUGGUAUUGCUGAUCAAUGGAAAGGCCUGGAGACCCUUGCAGAGCUGUUACCAAAGAAUGUUUCACGGGGGCAUCAGGAUGGCUCAGCACCCACCACAGGCAUUCUGAGGGUCACCUCUUGGAACUUGGAAAUUCUGGAAAGGGUACUCUGUAGCAGGCUGUUCUUUCAGGAUUUAACAUGGAAAAUCCUGAUUCUCAAGGAUAUUAAGGAAUUUGCCCACUCAGUUCAUCAAUGCCAGAGCCAAGAUUCACCAGAUUGUCUGACUCUAAGGCCAUGUCUUAACCAUUACACUAUAUCAUCUUUUUAUUUUUUCAUUUAUUUAUUUGAGCAAGAGAGCGGGCAUGAGCAGGGGAGAGAUGCAGAUGGAGAGAGAGGAGCAGACUUCCCUGCUGAGCAGGGAUCCUGAUGUGGGACUCGAUCCCAGGACUCCAGGAUCAUGACCGGAGCUGAAGGCAGACGCUUAAAUGACUGAGCCACCCAGGUGCCCCUACACUAUAUCAUCUUU